GUAUGCAUGAUCGUCUAGAUG
rnacentral:siRNA from 1 species